rnacentral:lncRNA from 1 species
UGCGAAGGAGAGAAUCCCAGGAAUGUGAUCGCCUUCCUGGCUUCGUUCAGUGCGAGGCAGACCUCAGGUUUACCCACCCGCAAAACCUCAUAGGGUCACAGAACCGCUCGGGUUGGAAAAGAGCUCUGAGAUCGUCUGCUCCAACCAUCCACGCACCACCAGCACUGCCCCAUAGCCGUGUCCCUCAGCACCGUUUUUCUCCUCACUGAGUGUUCCCAGGCAUUCUGGGCAGCCUGGGCUGCUGGUUGGCGACCCUGCACACAGCAGGGGGUUGGGACUGGAUGAGCAUUGUGGUCCUUUGCAACCCAGGCCAUCCUGUGAUCCUAUGGUUACUCUGGCACAAUAAAUCCAUAACCAUCCAGGUUCCGUUUAGCUUUGCCUCGUGGUGUGAGCACAGCUGAGCUCACCGAGGCAGUUCUACACAUCUCUACGGAUGGGGGCAGGUUGGUCUGUCCCAGUUCCCAGACAUAAACCCAGUAUUUACAAUAGGGUCACGUCUGGCUCUGUUGUUAAAGGGGGAGAAGGAUCAGGCUGAUGGUGCGCCUCAGCCCCAUCUCAUCCGUAAAUUGUAGGAAACAAAAAGAAUCUCCAUCAGAGCAGCGCUUGGAGAUCCUACGAGGAAAUCCCUAUUGAAAACAGUGAGCAUUUGGAGGAGGGACGCCCCCUCUUUCGGAGCCGAACUGGCACCAGGAGCCCCAUUGGGCCGAAGGACGCCUCCCAGCAGUUGGAAAGGCCUGUUGAAAUCCGUAUAAAAAUGGAAAAUUACGAGAGCCUGCCUGAGGAAAGGGUCUUGCCCAACAGCUCUUGGAUAAGAGCUCCAAAGGAGAGCCCAGAAUAGAAAUCAUUACCACUGAACUUCUGCCGAGCGGCAGGGGAACGGCCUGCUGCACGUCUGCGUCUUCUGUUGGCUCAGAGACCCCCACAAGCAAAGCAAGGCCAUGGUGCUUUUCUUAUCAUAAGCAAGAUAGAGAGUCGUAGAAUCAUAGAAUUGCUCAGGUUGGAAAAGACCUCACAAGUCAUCAGGUCCGACCGCAACCCAACCCUCCUACCCUGACUCUAACAGCCCUCUGCUAAGACAGGCAGAAAUGAGGCUGCGAGGUGGGGACGGCAUGGGACGGUGGGUAAGUGUUGGUUUGGUGCUGGUGUGCCCAGACCACCGUCUGUCCUGAAGGUUAGGGGUGAUCUGCAAUGUUCUCUGGAUGGAUACCCGCCGUGCUGCACAGUUGGGGUGUGAAUAUCCUGGAUCCCAGUUGUUGCCUUGCUCCGUAUCCGCAGCGGGGUCCCAGCCCCAAUGGGGCCAUGACAGAGGAGAGCUCAGAAAUACACUGCCACGAAGGGCGACAACAAAACCCUCAGUGCUCCACAGAGCAGCAGGACCAGCAGGAACACCAGCACUACCGCCGGGUUGGGCAGCAGCUCGGUGCAUGACUUGCAUGUGCACAUUGCAACACUGCUGUCCUUGGGAGGUAGGAAAAGUCCAGCCUGGAUCCGCGAGGACACAGCUGAGCCCUGGGACGGCGGCUGCCACCCGGCUCUGGUUUCACCCCUAUGAACCCUGUGACUUCUUUUCCUCUCCCCUCCAGCUCAGGGGAAAAUCAGAAAGCCGUCCUGGAUGGUGAGAAGCUUCUUGGCUCCGUUCCCCACCAGGAUAAGUUUUCCCACCAGGAGGAGCGCAUCGCGGCGCUCGUUCAAGGGUUGUUUUUGCAAAUGCCCCCGGUUUGUUUUGCUCGGUGCUUACAUUCCUCCCUUGGCACAGCAGGCAUACGGCCCUGUCUGUCAUUAACCCGCACGUCUGGCAAGAUUACUCUUCAACAAUAACAUCCUUUCAAAGAUCCCACUUCUCCUGCACCUGCAAAGCACGGGCAGGAGGCCGCCCGCAGCUCUGGGCACACAGCAACAAACCUCAGUGCCUUUGGGUGCCUUUAUUCCAGCUUCUGCUCAGCAGCACCUCUCAGCAAAGCAGCAG